UAAACUCUCUGGUGAUAAACACGAUGUGCAUGCAUCAUUCAAGUAUGCAUAGAUAUAUACAUACGAAGAGCAGAAAAGUUAGCAGUCAUGUAAGAUCGUUUACUGCUAAUUGCGACACGGUGAGAUGAGAAGUGAUGAUUCAGGCUUGUGACGCCAUAGUUAUUCAAACUAAAAACUUUACGUCAAGAACAAUUGGAACAUUUAUAGAACUCCUCUGGAAAUGUUCAAGAAAGAUGAAGUAAUCUUUAGAAACUUAAGACAAUCGUUUCGACCUUAAGAAGAUUUUGUAAUCAAAGAACUGUCAGAAAAUAUAGUCUGGAAGCAGUAAUCAAUUGGUGAUUGUCUAAUGCAGUGACCGAAAGCUAACCUUGAAGAAAAAAAUAUCAAUAACGGCGAAGUUUCGGUGAACAGUGAUAUCCUAUACUUAAGUGAUGCUGAGUGUUUUGUCAUUAAGUAAUGUUACGAUUGGAAUACCGUAUGUGUGCGUGUGACUCGAAAUAAAAGCUAAGUCCCGGGAGAACAAUAUCAGUUUUUUUGUAGUUAGUCUUAAUUCAGCGAUGGACAAUCAUAAUUUACCAAUAGAUAGUUUAAGACUAAAGACUGAUUGAUUCUGCAGUUUUAAUAGCGAAUAGUGUUUCUAAUGCACACAUACACACACACAAUCAUUUAGACGCCUACAAUAAUUAUAUUUCUCUUUUACGACUUUCAGCGUACAUAUACUCAUGUUCGGCAAAUUAUCUAUAAAGGAUGUAAUUGAAGAGCAGUUACAUUACUAAAAGGAUACGCGUGUUAUAAUGUCAAGUAUCCUCGAUAAGGACUAGUCGUUAUUGUCGGUAGUAUAGUGUUCAGAUAGUUGGCUUUUUUGCGUAAAACCAGUUCGCGCCGAUCGACUUACAUGUGCGGCAAUCUUAUACAUCAUAGUAUAGGUAACCUUUAGGAGCAUGGUACUCACACGGCACAUGACGCACGUUUAAGAAAGUUGCGUAUGACUACGGUAUAUCCUUGAACUUGAAACGAAUGCAUUAAAGGUAAUGCAUAUUCUUGGCACAAUGGUAAGAAGAAAAUACGUCACGCGCUGACUUAUCGUUCUACGAAUUGGAUUACAUACUCGAGUAAUAGUUGAAUAACGCUGUAAACAUCAUGGCCCGCUUCAGAUUACAUAUGUAUGAAUAGAAAGAAGUAUUAAAAAAAAAAUUGUUGAUAACUCAUUGACGAUAAUAUUCAUAAUAAAUUUAUGUAUUCUUCAUCGAGGUUACAUUGAUAUUUACAAAGAAUAUAACACUUCGAAGAAAUGUAAAAAUGCUCGCUUUCGCUUUUAAUGGAAACGAUCGUUCUUCCGAGUUUCGCGAUUACGUAAGUCUAAGAGAGACUGAAGUCGGAAAGCGUGACAGUGCGUUCUUGACAACGACAAGGAUAAGGACAACUGUACUCUCGCUGUCGACUCUUCCACACUGAUUCGGUUGCCAAGUAAACGUAUUUCGGUGCGGCACGUAAACGUCAUUAUAAACACAAGACUAUCGGAUAACCGCAAGACAACCACGAGAGUAGAAGUAGCAACGACCGUCGAAAGUUAUCCACAUCGAAAAUUUGAAUCAAUAGAGACAGCAGUAACGAUUUCUUCCACUUCGACGACGCAAACUAGGCUGCAUUAUUGGUCUUAUAGACACAGAGGAGAUGGAUGGCGAAGUGUCCGCAACGUCAGAAAAUCGAAGAUACCGAAUAGGAAACGCGUCGUCGCUCGAGGUAGCUACAGUUUUCAAACAAAUUGUUACUUGUACUUCUUUCAUUUUUUAUCGCUCUCAUUAAAGACAAUAUUCUACUAUAUAAAUCAUAUAACUUUUCUAACAAUUUAAGGUACUUCUUUAUAAAGCAACUAUAUAACUUUUUCUAUCAAAAUUUGAUUUGUAUACUUAUCCAUGUUUCAAUAAUGUUAUAUUGAUAUUAUAUAACAGAAUAAGAUAUAUUAUUUAAAUUAAAGAAUACAUUAUUUAAAUUUUAUAAUUUUAUUAAGAAAAAAUAAUUAAAAUCUGUGCCAAUGCAAAUAUUUGAUCGCAUAAAAAAAGACUUCCCAUGACUUCUGUGAUUCUACCUAUUCAGCUAAUUUGAAAUAAAAAAAAAGCCAAACUAAUUCUUAUAUUGUGGUUAUAGUGACACCGACAUCUGACAAUUCGACUGAUAAUCAACGUCAGCCGAACUCGCAAUCUUUUAAUCAUAUUAAGAAUCACAUGCGUGGUCUCAUUGAUCAAUGCGACCGAUCUUAUCAGUCGAUUCUAGUCGAUGUCGUAUGAUGAUCAAACAGACAAAUUCAAAUCAGUUUGUUUUUUUUAGCCGAUGUAUGAAUUAAUUAAAAAGAUAUCAAAAUGGAUAUUGAGAAAUUGAUAAACUUUGUGCAGGAAAUACAUCCAAA